rnacentral:rRNA from 1 species
GAUGAACGCUGGCGGCGUGCCUAAUACAUGCAAGUCGAGCGAACGGACGAGAAGCUUGCUUCUCUGAUGUUAGCGGCGGACGGGUGAGUAACACGUGGAUAACCUACCUAUAAGACUGGGAUAACUUCGGGAAACCGGAGCUAAUACCGGAUAAUAUUUUGAACCGCAUGGUUCAAAAGUGAAAGACGGUCUUGCUGUCACUUAUAGAUGGAUCCGCGCUGCAUUAGCUAGUUGGUAAGGUAACGGCUUACCAAGGCAACGAUGCAUAGCCGACCUGAGAGGGUGAUCGGCCACACUGGAACUGAGACACGGUCCAGACUCCUACGGGAGGCAGCAGUAGGGAAUCUUCCGCAAUGGGCGAAAGCCUGACGGAGCAACGCCGCGUGAGUGAUGAAGGUCUUCGGAUCGUAAAACUCUGUUAUUAGGGAAGAACAUAUGUGUAAGUAACUGUGCACAUCUUGACGGUACCUAAUCAGAAAGCCACGGCUAACUACGUGCCAGCAGCCGCGGUAAUACGUAGGUGGCAAGCGUUAUCCGGAAUUAUUGGGCGUAAAGCGCGCGUAGGCGGUUUUUUAAGUCUGAUGUGAAAGCCCACGGCUCAACCGUGGAGGGUCAUUGGAAACUGGAAAACUUGAGUGCAGAAGAGGAAAGUGGAAUUCCAUGUGUAGCGGUGAAAUGCGCAGAGAUAUGGAGGAACACCAGUGGCGAAGGCGACUUUCUGGUCUGUAACUGACGCUGAUGUGCGAAAGCGUGGGGAUCAAACAGGAUUAGAUACCCUGGUAGUCCACGCCGUAAACGAUGAGUGCUAAGUGUUAGGGGGUUUCCGCCCCUUAGUGCUGCAGCUAACGCAUUAAGCACUCCGCCUGGGGAGUACGACCGCAAGGUUGAAACUCAAAGGAAUUGACGGGGACCCGCACAAGCGGUGGAGCAUGUGGUUUAAUUCGAAGCAACGCGAAGAACCUUACCAAAUCUUGACAUCCUUUGACAACUCUAGAGAUAGAGCCUUCCCCUUCGGGGGACAAAGUGACAGGUGGUGCAUGGUUGUCGUCAGCUCGUGUCGUGAGAUGUUGGGUUAAGUCCCGCAACGAGCGCAACCCUUAAGCUUAGUUGCCAUCAUUAAGUUGGGCACUCUAAGUUGACUGCCGGUGACAAACCGGAGGAAGGUGGGGAUGACGUCAAAUCAUCAUGCCCCUUAUGAUUUGGGCUACACACGUGCUACAAUGGACAAUACAAAGGGCAGCGAAACCGCGAGGUCAAGCAAAUCCCAUAAAGUUGUUCUCAGUUCGGAUUGUAGUCUGCAACUCGACUACAUGAAGCUGGAAUUGCUAGUAAUCGUAGAUCAGCAUGCUACGGUGAAUACGUUCUCGGGUCU